GAGCGGGCUUCCUGCACGAGGUCGCCGCUCAGAGGCUGAUUGGACGGAAUCUCGCGACACCCAAGGCCUCUUCAGAAACCCCUUGUGUCCCCUGGCAUCCGUUGGUCACUGCUUCACCCCUGAGGCUUGGUGUCGGCCCGGGCUCCAGCAUUGGUCCUUCCAUAGUCUCAUCCACCUCAUCCUCCGUCUUGGAAAAUAAUCCGCUGGAUGCUCCUGCAGGCAGCUGUGGAGAGGAGGAGGAACUCAGACAAUACCCUGAGGGUCUGGAGAUGCAGAAUAGGUCUCAGAUGGGAAGGCUGACUUCCUGGUCCUAUUCCAUUCUGAGUCCCGGAGCAUUACCCUAACUGGCCAUGAAUACAACUGUUGACAGGACCGAGG